UUAAGCGACUAAGCGUACACGGUGGAUGCCCUGGCAGUCAGAGGCGAUGAAGGACGUGCUAAUCUGCGAUAAGCGUCGGUAAGGUGAUAUGAACCGUUAUAACCGGCGAUUUCCGAAUGGGGAAACCCAGUGUGUUUCGACACACUAUCAUUAACUGAAUCCAUAGGUUAAUGAGGCGAACCGGGGGAACUGAAACAUCUAAGUACCCCGAGGAAAAGAAAUCAACCGAGAUUCCCCCAGUAGCGGCGAGCGAACGGGGAGCAGCCCAGAGUCUGAAUCAGUGUGUGUGUUAGUGGAAGCGUCUGGAAAGGCGCGCGAUACAGGGUGACAGCCCCGUACACAAAAAUGCACAUAUUGUGAGCUCGAUGAGUAGGGCGGGACACGUGGUAUCCUGUCUGAAUAUGGGGGGACCAUCCUCCAAGGCUAAAUACUCCUGACUGACCGAUAGUGAACCAGUACCGUGAGGGAAAGGCGAAAAGAACCCCGGCGAGGGGAGUGAAAAAGAACCUGAAACCGUGUACGUACAAGCAGUGGGAGCACGCUUAGGCGUGUGACUGCGUACCUUUUGUAUAAUGGGUCAGCGACUUAUAUUCUGUAGCAAGGUUAACCGAAUAGGGGAGCCGAAGGGAAACCGAGUCUUAACUGGGCGUUAAGUUGCAGGGUAUAGACCCGAAACCCGGUGAUCUAGCCAUGGGCAGGUUGAAGGUUGGGUAACACUAACUGGAGGACCGAACCGACUAAUGUUGAAAAAUUAGCGGAUGACUUGUGGCUGGGGGUGAAAGGCCAAUCAAACCGGGAGAUAGCUGGUUCUCCCCGAAAGCUAUUUAGGUAGCGCCUCGUGAAUUCAUCUCCGGGGGUAGAGCACUGUUUCGGCAAGGGGGUCAUCCCGACUUACCAACCCGAUGCAAACUGCGAAUACCGGAGAAUGUUAUCACGGGAGACACACGGCGGGUGCUAACGUCCGUCGUGAAGAGGGAAACAACCCAGACCGCCAGCUAAGGUCCCAAAGUCAUGGUUAAGUGGGAAACGAUGUGGGAAGGCCCAGACAGCCAGGAUGUUGGCUUAGAAGCAGCCAUCAUUUAAAGAAAGCGUAAUAGCUCACUGGUCGAGUCGGCCUGCGCGGAAGAUGUAACGGGGCUAAACCAUGCACCGAAGCUGCGGCAGCGACGCUUAUGCGUUGUUGGGUAGGGGAGCGUUCUGUAAGCCUGUGAAGGUGUGCUGUGAGGUAUGCUGGAGGUAUCAGAAGUGCGAAUGCUGACAUAAGUAACGAUAAAGCGGGUGAAAAGCCCGCUCGCCGGAAGACCAAGGGUUCCUGUCCAACGUUAAUCGGGGCAGGGUGAGUCGACCCCUAAGGCGAGGCCGAAAGGCGUAGUCGAUGGGAAACAGGUUAAUAUUCCUGUACUUGGUGUUACUGCGAAGGGGGGACGGAGAAGGCUAUGUUGGCCGGGCGACGGUUGUCCCGGUUUAAGCGUGUAGGCUGGUUUUCCAGGCAAAUCCGGAAAAUCAAGGCUGAGGCGUGAUGACGAGGCACUACGGUGCUGAAGCAACAAAUGCCCUGCUUCCAGGAAAAGCCUCUAAGCAUCAGGUAACAUCAAAUCGUACCCCAAACCGACACAGGUGGUCAGGUAGAGAAUACCAAGGCGCUUGAGAGAACUCGGGUGAAGGAACUAGGCAAAAUGGUGCCGUAACUUCGGGAGAAGGCACGCUGAUAUGUAGGUGAAGCGACUUGCUCGUGGAGCUGAAAUCAGUCGAAGAUACCAGCUGGCUGCAACUGUUUAUUAAAAACACAGCACUGUGCAAACACGAAAGUGGACGUAUACGGUGUGACGCCUGCCCGGUGCCGGAAGGUUAAUUGAUGGGGUCAGCGCAAGCGAAGCUCUUGAUCGAAGCCCCGGUAAACGGCGGCCGUAACUAUAACGGUCCUAAGGUAGCGAAAUUCCUUGUCGGGUAAGUUCCGACCUGCACGAAUGGCGUAAUGAUGGCGAGGCUGUCUCCACCCGAGACUCAGUGAAAUUGAACUCGCUGUGAAGAUGCAGUGUACCCGCGGCAAGACGGAAAGACCCCGUGAACCUUUACUAUAGCUUGACACUGAACAUUGAGCCUUGAUGUGUAGGAUAGGUGGGAGGCUUGGAAGUGUGGACGCCAGUCUGCAUGGAGCCGACCUUGAAAUACCACCCUUUAAUGUUUGAUGUUCUAACGUUGACCCGUAAUCCGGGUUGCGGACAGUGUCUGGUGGGUAGUUUGACUGGGGCGGUCUCCUCCUAAAGAGUAACGGAGGAGCACGAAGGUUGGCUAAUCCUGGUCGGACAUCAGGAGGUUAGUGCAAUGGCAUAAGCCAGCUUGACUGCGAGCGUGACGGCGCGAGCAGGUGCGAAAGCAGGUCAUAGUGAUCCGGUGGUUCUGAAUGGAAGGGCCAUCGCUCAACGGAUAAAAGGUACUCCGGGGAUAACAGGCUGAUACCGCCCAAGAGUUCAUAUCGACGGCGGUGUUUGGCACCUCGAUGUCGGCUCAUCACAUCCCGGGCUGAAGUAGGUCCCAAGGGUAUGGCUGUUCGCCAUUUAAAGUGGUACGCGAGCUGGGUUUAGAACGUCGUGAGACAGUUCGGUCCCUAUCUGCCGUGGGCGCUGGAGAACUGAGGGGGGCUGCUCCUAGUACGAGAGGACCGGAGUGGACGCAUCACUGGUGUUCGGGUUGUCAUGCCAAUGGCACUGCCCGGUAGCUAAAUGCGGAAGAGAUAAGUGCUGAAAGCAUCUAAGCACGAAACUUGCCCCGAGAUGAGUUCUCCCUGACUCCUUGAGAGUCCUGAAGGAACGUUGAAGACGACGACGUUGAUAGGCCGGGUGUGUAAGCGCAGCGAUGCGUUGAGCUAACCGGUACUAAUGAACCGUGAGGCUUAACCU
rnacentral:rRNA from 1 species